CCUACGGGAGGCAGCAGUAGGGAAUCUUUCACAAUGGGCGAAAGCCUGAUGGAGCAACGCCGCGUGCAGGAUGAAGGCCUUCGGGUUGUAAACUGCUUUUAUAAGCGAGAAAUAUGAUGGUAACUUAUGAAUAAAGAUCGGCUAACUACGUGCCAGCAGCCGCGGUCAUACGUAGGAUCCGAGCAUUAUCCGGAGUGACUGGGUGUAAAGAGUUGCGUAGGUGGCAUAAUAAGUAGCUAGUGAAAUCUGGUGGCUCAACCAUUCAGACUAUUAGCUAAACUGUUAAGCUCGAGACCGUUAGGGGUAACUGGAAUUUCUAGUGUAGGAGUGAAAUCCGUAGAUAUUAGAAGGAACACCAAUAGCGUAGGCAGGUUGCUGGGACGGUUCUGACACUAAGGCACGAAAGCGUAGGGAGCAAACGGGAUUAGAUACCCCUGUAGUC
rnacentral:rRNA from 1 species